rnacentral:lncRNA from 1 species
UUUAUCCCUUUUAUUUACCUUUUAGUCUUCCACCCUCUUUCUUAAAUUCGCAAAUUCGAACCUUUGUUGUGUUUCAUAUUUGGAGUCAAUUAAUUGAUUAAAAGUGAUAUAUAUAUAUAUAUAUAUAUAUAUAUAGUCUUACGUAUUAUUAUGAGUCUUUCUUUAGUCAUAUUAACUGCAAUAUGAUAUUUUUUUGAUUAUUGUGUUAUAAAAAUAAUUUUAAUCAUCCAUUUGUAUGAUAUGCGACCUCUUUUGAAUAAGAUUGAAUAAUUUUGUUGGAACGAUUUCCUCUUUUGAAUAAGAUUUAAUAAUUUUGUUGGAACGAUUGAUUCUUUUUCAUUAUAGCUUUUUGUUAAAAAAAGUGUUUGUCUAUAAUAUAGACUAUAUUUAUUAUUUUUUAUACUAAGCUGAUAUUUUAUUUUUUACAAAUUUUUAUUUUAAUAAUAUCUACCCGCCGUAAUACGCGGGUCACUACACUAGUAUAUAUUAAUUUCUCAUCUCUGUUGAAAGCAGUGGGUCCAUAUUAUAUAAGUUUUAAGCGAAAAAUAUACAUAAUUUAUCUAAAUUAUAAAUUAUUUUAAUUUAGCUAUUUAAUAUUUUAAAAUUUUAAGUUUACUAUGCAAUCUUUCAAUUUAUUUGAUUCGAGUUUCAAUAAAUUUUGACAUUACAAUUUAAAUGUAUUGUUUAUUUUUACAAAUUAGUUAAUAUACUUCUUGCAAUUCUCAUAGCUAUGAAUUUAUUAAUAUAAUUAAUUAACUUA